rnacentral:rRNA from 1 species
GGGAUGACACAGUAGGAUAAGCUAAGCACACUGUUGGUUAUGUGUGCCCAAGCAUUGAGGCAGUCAAAGUAGGCAAAUCCGCUUUGAUAAUGCUGGGAUGUGAUGGGGAGCGAAAUUUAGUAGCGAAGUAGCUGAUUUCACACUGUCAAGAAAAGUCUCUAUCGAGGUUAAAGGUACCCGUACCGCAAACCGACACAGGUGGGUGAGGAGAGUAUCCUAAGGCCAGCGAGAGAACUGUUGUUAAGGAACUCGGCAAAAUGACCCCGUAACUUAGGGAUAAGGGGUGCCACCAUCAGGUGGCCGCAGAGAAUAGGCCCAAGCGACUGUUUACCAAAAACAUAGGUUUCUGCUAAGUCGCAAGACGAUGUAUAGG